ACUUGGAACCGGGAGAGGUAAGAGGUACUACAGGGGUAGGAGUGAAAUCUUGUAAUCCCUGUGGGACCACCUGUGGCGAAGGCGUCUUACCAGAACGGGUUCGACGGUGAGGGACGAAGCUGGGGGCACGAACCGGAUUAGAUACCCGGGUAGUCCCAGCCGUAAACGAUGCUCGCUAGGUGUCAGGCAUGGCGCGACCGUGUCUGGUGCCGCAGGGAAGCCGUGAAGCGAGCCACCUGGGAAGUACGGCCGCAAGGCUGAAACUUAAAGGAAUUGGCGGGGGAGCACAACAACGGGUGGAGCCCUGCGGUUUAAUUGGACUCAAACGCCGGACAACUCACCGGGGGCGACAGCAAUAUGUAGGCCAAGCUGAAGACUUUGCCUGAAUCGCUGAGGAGUGGUGCAUGG
rnacentral:rRNA from 1 species